rnacentral:lncRNA from 1 species
CUUGACACAAAUCCUUUUUAUGUAAUGAAAGAACACUUCAACGCAUGUCUUGGGUUGAACUAUUAUUUCUAAAUCAGUGAUAAUUAGAUUAGUGAAAUUUUAUUUAUAGCCAUAAUUCAUCUCGACCAAUGAUUUCACAAGUAUUUGAAAGUGUAAUGGGUAAAAGAUGCAGACAGAAUUCAAGAGAUACAAAUAAGCACACAUAAAAAUAUGUCAUUUUCUCUCUAGUCCCCUCCCCCAUAAAAAUGUUGUCAUGUGUUAAAGAAAUGUCAGUUAAAGCAACCUUGAGAUACUUCCUUUAUAUCUAUUAAAUUGGCAAACAUGUUUAGAAAUGUUCUUUCUUGACUCGGGCAGUGGUUAGACAAGUGUUCACUUCAUAACUAUUCGACAAAACUGUGUGUUGUAUGCACUCUUCUGUACCUGUAACAGAAAUGGAAACUACCUAAUUAUCUACCAAAACAGAAAUGGUUUAGCAAAUUACAGUAAUGAAGGAAAAUUACAAAAUAUUAUGGUAGUUGUAAAAACCUAAAGCACAUUUUUGAGAAUGUAUUACAAAACAAUGAUUUGCAGUACAUAAAUCCAUACACAUGUGCAUAAGGAUUAGAAGAGAGUAUUAAAAAUCGUAAUGAUAAAGGAGCUCUGGGUAAUUUUCUCCAUAAGUUUUUAUUACUGUUAGAUUAUCUUUACCACAGAGAGCACAGAACAUGUGGUUAAAAUGCAAAGGACAGGAACAUCCCACUGGCAGGGACUACUCAUGUCUAAUCACAGUGUGAUCAUUAAAUAUUCUCUCCAAAUGUACUCAGAACACUUCAGAUGUUUACAGGAUAUGGCAGAAGAGGGACGUCUAAGAGAGGAAAAGCUGUGUGGAAUUGAUCUUUCAUUUGCUUCUGAUCUUUUAUUUUCAAUUUUAGAUGCUCUGGAAGUUAUUUUUCUUCCAAGUUUAGAUAGCUCUUAAGACAAUCCAUGGAAUUCAUUAAAAUCUCAAUGAAUUCCUACUCUCAAUCUUACAAUGUUGCUGGGGAAACCAGGUAUUCACUUGUAUUUUGGAAAAAACUGAGAAUCAAGGAUGAAAGUUAAUAGUUGUCUACUGCAAAAGGUACAACAGUAUUUAUUGCUAAAUGAACUGCACCACUAACCUUACACAAAAAUGCUCAGUGAGGCUGGAGUGGGGUAUGGUGGUCAGCAGAGGCUUUAAAGAUAGUGGGAGAUCAAUGGGAUUAAAGCCUGGCCCUAGGACUGGUGGAAAGGAACAUCAAGAACUUUCCACGAGGAUGGGAGAUUAACACCCAAAGCGCAAGGGUGGAAAUAAAUAGAGGAGCAAGAACUGUUUGCUCGAAGAAAUUAGCUAGGGCUCCAUGAUGUUAAGGAAUCCAGAUGUGCCCUGAUGGUAACGGAGAGUUACCAAGAUUGAACAAGAGCAAGUAAGUGCUCAAAGAAGUGGUUGGGGAGACUCCCUGGAAGCAAAGCAUAAGACAGGUUGAACAGUGCACACAAGUGGUGAAGGCAGAAGGCAGCAGUCGGGAUUUGAAGAGACUUGAAAUACAGAAAGAACAGACAAACAUGAAAACAUGGAAAAAAUCCAGGUGUGUGGGGGCUGAAAAUCAGGGCUUCAGCCUCACCACUUACUAUAACUCCUCUAGGCAAUGAAUCACUUUACCAAGCCACAGCUUUCUCAUCUGUAAAACAGGAAUGACAAUCUGCCCUUAAUGAUGCUGUCAGGGGAUCAAAGGUGCAGGGCCGUGGUACUCAAAUGACAAGAAGCCCCGUAAGUUUAAGUUAGUAAGAAAGAACUCAUGCAAAGAUGUGCUGGAUAGACACAUCCUUGGGCAAAAGAGAGGAAGACUAUUCCAAGGUCUGGAAGCAAAAUGGGACUUUUACCCACCCCAUCCCUUCAUUUGCAACUAUUCAUGAAAUUCACCAAAAUUAUUUCCUUGUGUUUUACCUUUAUUGUUUUGCUUUUUGGAUCACCUUCAGAAAUGGUUAUAUUGUUGAGUUUACCUUCUAGAAGAUGCAGAAACAGUAAAAAAACAGAGCCACCUCAGAUCACUCAAGGGGUUGUUCUAUUUUCAAAAACACACUGACUUUUGAAAAGUCCCUGCAUUGGUUGGAUAAAAUGUCUGAAGUGGUUGGGGGGAAAGCAAGACAAAGUCUUAACUACAGAAUAUAUUUUUAAGGAAAUGCAGCUUUAUUACUUUCAAGUACAAACAAUAACUUGGGCUUGGCUAACCAAAUUUGCCUAAUUGAGGGAAUCUGCUUUAAUGUACAGAUAUAAAUGAUUUAUAGUUAACACAAUCACUCACGGGUAAAAAGAGUGCUUCUAUGAUGCAAGAAAAUAACUUCUCAUCUUAGAGACAUCUUGUUCCACAAUCACCCCACUAUUUGCUUAAGCAACCUCUUCUUCCCCCUACCCCACACAGUUCAAAUAUAAACUUUAUCUCAUGCCCUCUAAAUCACAACAUACAUCAAAUUCGUGAAAUAUGAGUUGAUUACUUUUUCCACAUUGCUAUAGAUGUUGGAUUGCUGACAGAACUAUCUCUUCAACCUGAGCAUUCUCAUCAAGUAUACUAAGUCUAAAUCAGUGAAAUAUGCCUGUUCACAAUCUGAGUACAAAGACACCAAAACAUGAGCUUUUAUCAUCUGAAUUACUAAUUUUCCAGGGUUGAAUAUUAAAAACACAUAUUUACUUGGGCACAUUUAUGAAGAGUAGAAGUAGCUGAAUUCUUUAGGCUGCAAUAAUUAAGUGGGUUUACACUGGUCAGGAUUGAAUUACUAAAUUUAAACAACUGAACUGUUCCAGGAAAGACAAGAAACACUGAAACAUCCUAACAGCAAAACAGCUUUUUGCACUGAGCGUGACCAUUCAGUCUGAUUAGGCUGAUGGGAAUGGUGCAAAGACUACUCAGUAAUCCAUUUGAGGAUUUAUUCUGAAAAAAGUUUACUUUCCUAGAGCAGGCAUGGGGAACCUUUGAUCAGAAACACUGCCAAAGAUGGCUAAUGGGCAUUGUGUCAAAAAAGUGAAUCUGUUCUUUUCAUCAGACAUUCUGAGGACAGCAUAAUUCUCAAGUGUCUUGGUUGUCUAAACCAAGCGAAAGCACCAGCGUAACCAGGUAGGAGGGCUGUGUCAAGAAGACGGACCUAAAGGGCUUCUCCCCUAUCCUGACAACUGUGUCCACAGGCAAAGGUGACAGUAUGCCCUGCCCGGACUGCAUCAUGAGUAGCAAUCUGAUUCUGCUCGCUUCCCAACAGAGAAAGGCAUGCUGGUGGCAAAGACCAAGCCCGUGUCAUUGUGCCCAUCC